AUGUUCGAGUAUGUAAAUGUUGUCAGCAAGAUGUUUGAUAGUGAGGCUGAAGGCUAUGAAUUCUACAACAAAUAUGCUCUUGAAAAAGGUUUUAGUGUGAGGAAAAGCUACGUUGAGUGGGAUGGAUCCAACAAAUACAUAAUUUUAAGGAAAAUUGUGUGUAGUCGUCAAGGGUUUCACGAAGAUAAGCACAUGAAAAAAACGAUGGAAGAUAGAAAGAGGAGGCCACGAAGUUUAACUCGUGUUGGGUGUAAUGCUAAAUUGGUCAUUACGAGACAGGAGGAAACCGGUCGGUGGUUUGUCAAGGAUUUCAUCGAUGAGCACAGCCAUCCUCUAGCCCCACGGGAUCUUUCUUGUCUGCUGCGUUCGCACAGACGAAUUAGCGAUGAGCAGAAAGCGGACAUUGCGGACAUGGAAAAAUGUGGGAUCCGUAAAUACCGUAUUAUGGAUAUUUUGUGCUUUCAAUACGGUGGAUUUGAUAAGGUUGGAUGCAUAAAGAGGGACGUUUACAAUUUCUGCCAUGCUAAUAAGCAGGAGACAAUCAGUGCCGGUGAUGCUAAAACGGUGAUCAUGCACAUGAUGGCGAGGCGAGAGCGAGAUGUGGAUUUUUUCUUCAAGUACUUGGUAGACGAGCAUGGCCAUCUGAAGGGACUGUUCUGGGCUGAUAGUCAAUCGUGACUUGACUACGAGGCUUUCAGAGACGUCAUUGUUUUUGAUAGCACAUACAGAACCAACAAAUACAAUCUGCCAUUCGUGCCUUUUGUCGGGUUGAAUCACCACCGCAGCACUAUUAUAUUUGGCUGUGAUAUAAUUUCUCAUGAAACAAGCCAGGCAUACGAGUGGAUGUUGUGGACCUUUUUUGAUUGCAUGGCACAUAAGCAUCCGAUAUCUGUGAUCACAGAUGGGGACCUUGCAAUGCAGAGAGCAAUAAGGGUGGUCUGGCCAGACUCAAACCAUAGACUAUGUAUAUGGCACAUUCAGCAGAACAUUGUACGCCAUCUGCAUGAUGACGACGUAAAGAAGGAAUUCAGAUCUUUCAUUUAUGAUACUUCUUCCAUUGAAGAGCAUGAGAUAAAAUGGAUACAAUUCUUACAACGGAAUAAAGUAACUAAUGAGGAGUCUUGGCUGCAUCAGAUGUAUCAGAUGAGAAAGUUGUGAUGUGCUCCAUAUCUUGAGGGGCGUUGUUUCCUAGGAUUGAGCAGCAAUCAAAGGAGUGAGAGCUUGAACUCUGUGCUACAUACGCAUCUUGAGGGUAAGAUGUCGUUGUUUGAAAUGCUAGAGCACUAUGAGCGUUGCCUUGCGUCGCGACGGAUUAACGAAGCUCUCCAUGACGUCGAAGCCUUGCAGUCCGUUCCAUUUACAGAGGAAAAUGCUUCGCCGCUUGAGAAACACGCCGCAACAGUUUUCACACCUAGGGUCUUUAAGAUGGUCCUAUGGAGCAUAGAUGCUGUCAGCAAAUGUCAGAUUAGAGAGAUACUAGAUGGAUUAGAAGAUUCCACUUAUGUUGUGUCC
rnacentral:rRNA from 1 species